GAUGAACGCUGGCGGCGUGCUUAACACAUGCAAGUCGAACGAAGCACUUUGAUCGAUUUCUUCGGAUUGAAAUUUAGUGACUGAGUGGCGGACGGGUGAGUAACGCGUGGGUAACCUGCCCCAGACCGGGGGAUAACAGUCGGAAACGACUGCUAAUACCGCAUAAGCGCACAGUGCCGCAUGGCACGGUGUGAAAAACUCCGGUGGUCUGGGAUGGACCCGCGUCCGAUUAGUUAGUUGGCGGGGUAACGGCCCACCAAGACCGCGAUCGGUAGCCGACCUGAGAGGGUGACCGGCCACAUUGGGACUGAGACACGGCCCAGACUCCUACGGGAGGCAGCAGUGGGGAAUAUUGCACAAUGGAGGAAACUCUGAUGCAGCGACGCCGCGUGAGCGAAGAAGUAUUUCGGUAUGUAAAGCUCUGUCAGCAGGGAAGAUAAUGACGGUACCUGACCAAGAAGCCCCGGCUAACUACGUG
rnacentral:rRNA from 1 species